CGAUUUUUGCUUUCCACUGC
rnacentral:miRNA from 1 species